CUCUCUCUCUCUCUCAUAUUGAUAUUGCAAUGCCCAUAAACGAAGCAUAAUUUUCAGUUGUCACGAAUACGUUUUGUCUCGAAGAAGAUGCUUGCCCUACUUGUCUCGAAGAGUACGACGAGGAGAAUCCGAAAAUCACGACGAAAUGUAACCAUCACUUUCACCUUUCGUGCAUACUUGAAUGGAUGGAACGAAGCGACACCUGUCCCAUCUGCAAUCAGGAAAUGAUAUACGAAGCCCUCCGAUUUGGCUGUGAAUGAAUUUGAUUCUUGCUCGUUUAAUUUUGGAGGCCAUUAUAUUGCUGAAAGUAUUCUCUCGUUCGGGAUUAGAAUGAACCCUUUCGCAAGUUAUCGACGAACAACAAGCUGAUGAGUGAUUAUGUGCAAUGCUGCAUUGCCUGUGUUAGUAAAUAUUCAAGUAAUGUAACAUGUAUAGAUUAUAUGUACAGUCUACAGAUUACUGCAUACACUGUAGACAUUUAAAAUUUAAUGAUGAAUUAUACAAGUUAUCAUUGAUGUGAUUUUUUACAUUA